rnacentral:tmRNA from 1 species
GGGGAUGAAAAGCUUCGACGAAUUUAGCUCUUUAACACCGGCAAGCAGACUUUGAACUGUAGUCUUUAAACAAGGUUUAAAAAACAACUGCUAAUUCUUUAGUCAGUGACUUCGUUGAAGACGUUAAAGCAGGAGCGAAAGCUUUAGCUUUAACUUUAUUUGGCGAACCGGCUAGGCUUUUAGCCUAACCGGCAUCUUUUUUUGUCUAUGUCUGGGGAGACUUAAAAAGGUGGAAAUAAACUCAGGCGGCAAAUCCGACGUGAUUCAAUCGGAUCCAAGUUAAAGAAUCAAAAUUUUUGUCUGUUUAUUAAAACAGAAUAAGCUUGUAGAAGGUUUAAGGAAAUAUUUUCGGACGAGGGUUCAUAACCCUCCAUCUCCACAU